GCCAGCAGCCGCGGUAAUACGGAGGGUGCAAGCGUUGUUCGGAUUUAUUGGGCGUAAAGCGCGUGUAGGCGGUCUUUUAAGUCUGAUGUGAAAGCCCCGGGCUCAACCCGGGAAGUGCAUUGGAUACUGGGAGACUUGAAUACGGGAGAGGGUAGUGGAAUUCCUAGUGUAGGAGUGAAAUCCGUAGAUAUUAGGAGGAACACCGGUGGCGAAGGCGGCUACCUGGACCGAUAUUGACGCUGAGACGCGAAAGCGUGGGGAGCAAACAGGAUUAGAUACCCUGGUAGUCCACGCCGUAAACGAUGAGUACUAGGUGUUGCGGGUA
rnacentral:rRNA from 1 species